AUUUUGUAAUCUGAAAGGUGUACAAACCUUAUCAUUUCCUUCUUUUAAAAAUUGUCCCGUGUGCCCUCAAAUCCCUCACAUUCACUCAUUUUCCCCCAAAACCCUCACAACCAAUUAGAACCUCUCCUUACACCUAUCCCCCAAUUAGAAAUUGCUCCCUCACUCUCUCUCUCUAUUCUCCUUCUCUCUCUCUCCCACACCCGUGACUCUCUCCCCUUUGUAAUACACACACACCAUCAUCAAAACUUGUAGAUUGAACUAAAAAACACCAUAAAUGUACUCCUCUCAAACCCACGAACCCAACCGUACUAGCCGAUGGUGAAAUGACCGAGUUUUGACUCGCCAACUCAGAAGCUCCAACUCAGUGAGUUUUCCUAUGACGAGUUUCAAGUCGAGUUACAAGGUUUUAAGACGUAGGGAAGCUUCUACACAACUCCCUAGGGUCCCUAGACUAGGUUUGGAGUCGAGUUGAUGUCGAAACAAGCGAGUUCGAGGAGUCAAGUUUUAGGCCGAGACUUUUGAUGCAUUUUCAGGCCAUUUCCCUUCCAUUUUUAGACUUUUGAAAGUUUCCGGCGAAAAUUUCUAGUUUCCUACGAAACCAGACAGCAGCGACCGGCAGAAGCUCACCAGACAAGACGAAGAAUAUUUCGUCAAAGUUAACGGAAUAUUCUAAUGGCGUCAGGUGCGUGGCCUGUGUGUGGGAGCGUGUUUGGUCGUGGGCUAGGCUGCACGUGAGGGCGCAUCUGGGCUCUGGACGGCGAGUGCUUGACAUGUAUGGGUCCAUGACUUUGUGUAGAUCAUUUUCGUAUAUUCAAACCUUCCGUUUGAGUAAAGUAUGAGAGAUUUACCUAACCUUUUUUAAUAUGUCUUAUUUAAUUUAUUAGUUUAGUUAUUUCACAUAUAGGUGAAAAUUAUCCUGAGAACGUACGAGGUCAAGCGAGGUUAGGAGGUUACGAUCUAACCACGUACUAGUGAGUAGGCAUUUUGUUUUCACAUAUAUAAACCUUAUAGUUUCCACAAAUGCUUUUGAAUUGAUUUAUGCAUAUCAUGCCACUGUUGCUUUUAGAUUGAUAUUACGCCUAUUAUGCCAUGAUUAAAGAUGAUAUAAGAAAUGUUAUAAUGCUAUGGAACGCUAAAAUAAUCCUACAGGAUACACAUGUAAGUUUGCAUUGUUGACUAGAAUUAUUUAAUGGGUAUGGCAUGUUUAUACUUAUGUAGUCUGCUCAUCAUUGAUGCACUCCGGUGUUAGUGCUAACCCAGGGCCAGGGCUAGUCUUUCACGUGUUUGUUCAUCUCUACACCGCACGCUCGCCUUGGAUCCAAGUAGUAUCAGUCCUGUUGUACAGGUUGCAUUAGGCAACUCCGACUCAUAGGUGACUGCGAUUAUUGCUAGUCUUCAUGUGAUUGUAGCACUAUAGUGUACUUAUACAUUACGCCACAUUCUUGUUCAUAUCAAAAACUAUCUGCAUGAACUUGUGUGCUAGCAUAGAUUGAUGAGCAACUUGUUUUCAUUAUGCUAUUGUUGAGAUAUUGUAAUUUGGCUUAUUUCCGACA